rnacentral:rRNA from 1 species
UACGAAGGGGGCUAGCGUUGCUCGGAAUCACUGGGCGUAAAGCGCACGUAGGCGGACUCUUAAGUCGGUGGUGAAAUCCUGGAGCUCAACUCCAGAACUGCCUUCGAUACUGGGAGUCUCGAGUCCGGGAGAGGUGAGUGGAACUGCGAGUGUAGAGGUGAAAUUCGUAGAUAUUCGCAAGAACACCAGUGGCGAAGGCGGCUCACUGGCCCGGUACUGACGCUGAGGUGCGAAAAGCGUGGGGGAGCGAACAGGA